ACGUUUCUGGAUGGGCCCGCGGCCUAUCAGCUAGUUGGAGAGGUAACGGCUCCCCAAGGCUAUGACGGGUAGCUGGUCUGAGAGGACGACCAGCCACACUGGAACUGAGACACGGUCCAG
rnacentral:rRNA from 1 species